AACUUCCCUAUAACUAUUUUCGUUCAUUAGUUUUGUUCAUGUAAAAAAGGUGCCCAACAAACGAUACACAAAACCAGUGUUGCAUUUAUUUGGAGUAAAUUGUCGUAAUCCCACUACAACCCCAACAAACGUAACAAAAAUCCAUAAGUACUUAGUAAUAUUAGUUUAAUCGUAGCUUUAAUUAACUACAAAGACACCAGAUGCCGCCUUUGAAGUAAAGGUUUCAGAAAUUUCUAAUAUAGGCACAGACAAAUUUUUUGAACAAUGGCUAUCAACUGAAAAUGUAAUAAUUACGUGUCAAUGUAUAAUUGAUGAGCAUUUCUCCAUUAUCCACGUUGGUAAAAUUUACAAUUCAUUUACUAUAUGAUUUGCAAUUUUGAAACAAGUUAAUUUUUGUGAAAUUAUUUGUAGAUGGCAAUAACUGACAAACCUUAGAAGCAAUUGAUGCAAUUGUGUUUUUUCAUAUUCAAAUGGUCGGGAGUCAAAAUAUUACAUCAGUGUAAUCUCAUUGUAUGUGACAUAACAGUUCACAUCAGGCUUAGAAGAUGCUUUUACCAUAGAGUAUCGAAACUGUUAUGUGGCACAGUUAACAACCACUAGAAGCUCAGAGGCGGCACAACCACUAGAAGCUCAGAGGCGGCACAACCACCAACAGGUCUGUUACACCCAUGACUCUCAAGUGCUAUCAAAAGAUACCAUAUUCUAGCCAGGAGCUCAGAGGCGGUUCAAUCACUACCAGGUCUAUUACCCGCUUGUCUCACAGACCCAGAACACAACAAUCUAAGCCUGUAGAGCAGAGUCCUUAAAAAUAGCCUGCCAAGCAGGGACCAUUAAACAUAGCCUGCAAAGUAGGGACCUUAAAAAUAGCCUGUCGAGCAGGGACCUUAAUCAUAGUCUACUAAGCAGGGACCUUCACAUAUAGCCUGAUACACAGGGACCUUAAACAGCCUACUAAGCAGGGACCUUUACACACAUUCACACAUCAAUCUUAUUAAAUAAAUCUAUAUCCAUCAUACCUUAUAGAAUUUCU